AAAAAUAUCAAUCAAGUGAUAU
rnacentral:snRNA from 1 species